GGGCGUGUGGCUCAGUUGGUAGAGCGUUCGCUUAGCAUACUCACCCUUGCUUCAUCACGAUGCAAGGAUCCUUUGUAUGCGAAAGGUCCUGGGUUCGAUUCCCAGCUCGUCCA